rnacentral:tRNA from 1 species
UCUACUAAGUUUAAAACAUUUGUUUUGAAAACAUUACCAGGGCCAGCCCAGUAGAC